AUUUAAAUAGCUUAAGGGUAGAGCAUGACAUUGAAGCUGUUAAGGUAAUUUUUAUUUUUGAAUA
rnacentral:tRNA from 1 species